rnacentral:rRNA from 1 species
AGGAUUCAGUCGGAGGGCGGGGGCGUUUGUGUUGUCGCUAGUUCUGCUUUGGGACUGCCUCGGCCUCUCGUUCUCCUGCUUCUACGACGCAAUUCUUUUCCGUCCCGAGGACGCCGCGACCGGUUGGGAAACGGCUUGAAAGUCGACGAAGGUAGGUGGCCAGCGUCCGCCCUCGUGGUUGGCGUUGGUGACUCGACCUGUUGAUUUUGGCUCGUGUCCCGACCGUAGUGUUUUGGAGCCUUGUUGGGCUCGAUCGUCUCCUCCAACGGAAGUCGGACUGCGUGUGGCAGUAGUUCUCUGUGCCGGUGGCGCACAGGUUGUUCUGUGGUUGGUUGUUCAAGAGUCUAUGUUGUGGUUGCAAGUGAUCCGUUGGAGUGCUGGCGGUCAGCGGCGAGUAGAUCGGUCACCCACCUGACCCGUCUUGAAACACGGACCAAGGAGUCUAACAUGUGUGCGAGUCAAUGGGUCUCGAAAAAGCCCGGAGGCGUAAUGAAAGCAAAGGUCGGACUUGAAGCCGACCGUGUUGGGAUCUUCCUGCCAUCGCGCAGGAGGCGCACCAACGACCCGUUCUAUCCGACUUGUCGGUUGGGCGGUGUUUGAGCAUACACGUUGGCACCCGAAAGAUGGUGAACUAUGCCCAGGCAGAACGAAGCCAGAGGAAACUCUGAUGGAGGUUCGCAGCGGUUCUGACG